rnacentral:rRNA from 1 species
ACAGCAGUAGCCGCGGUAAUACGAAGGGGGGUAGCGUUGUUCGGAAUUACUGGGCGUAAAGGGCGCGUAGGCGGCCUGUUUAGUCAGAAGUGAAAGCCCCGGGCUCAACCUGGGAAUAGCUUUUGAUACUGGCAGGCUUGAGUUCCGGAGAGGAUGGUGGAAUUCCCAGUGUAGAGGUGAAAUUCGUAGAUAUGCGGAGGAACACCGAUGGCGAAGGCAGCCCCCUGGGCCAACACUGACGCUCAUGCACGAAAGCGUGGGGAGCAAACAGGAUUAGAUACCCGGGUAGUCCCUGUCUCUUAUAC